rnacentral:rRNA from 1 species
AACGCGUGGGAAUCUGCCCUUGGGUACGGAAUAACUCAGGGAAAUUUGUGCUAAUACUGUAUAAUGUCUUCGGACCAAAGAUUCAUCGCCCAAGGAUGAGCCCGCGUAAGAUUAGCUAGUUGGUGGGGUAAAGGCCUACCAAGGCUACGAUCUUUAGCUGGUCUGAGAGGAUGAUCAGCCACACUGGGACUGAGACACGGCCCAGACUCCUACGGGAGGCAGCAGUGGGGAAUAUUGGACAAUGGGCGAAAGCCUGAUCCAGCAAUGCCGCGUGAGUGAUGAAGGCCUUAGGGUUGUAAAGCUCUUUUACCAGGGAUGAUAAUGACAGUACCUGGAGAAUAAGCUCCGGCUAACUCCGUGCCAGCAGCCGCGGUAAUACGGAGGGAGCUAGCGUUGUUCGGAAUUACUGGGCGUAAAGCGCGCGUAGGCGGUUUUUUAAGUCAGAGGUGAAAGCCCAGUGCUCAACACUGGAACUGCCUUUGAAACUGGAAAACUUGAAUCUUGGAGAGGUCAGUGGAAUUCCGAGUGUAGAGGUGAAAUUCGUAGAUAUUCGGAAG